rnacentral:rRNA from 1 species
UAAGCAUAUCAAUAAGCGGAGGAAAAGAAACCAACAGGGAUUGCCUUAGUAACGGCGAGUGAAGCGGCAACAGCUCAAAUUUGAAAUCUGGCCUUUUUGGUCCGAAUUGUAAUUUGUAGAAGGCAUCUCGGGCGCGGCACCAGUUUAAGUUCCUUGGAAUAGGGCGUCAUAGAGGGUGAGAAUCCCGUAUGUGACUGGCCGCCAAACCCAUGUGAGAUCCUUUCGACGAGUCGAGUUGUUUGGGAAUGCAGCUCUAAAUGGGUGGUAAAUUUCAUCUAAAGCUAAAUAUUGGCCAGAGACCGAUAGCGCACAAGUAGAGUGAUCGAAAGAUGAAAAGCACUUUGGAAAGAGAGUUAAAAAGUAUGUGAAAUUGUUAAAAGGGAAGCGCUUGUAACCAGACUUGUUUGCAGUUGAUCAACCUUUCUUCGGACUGGUGCACUCUUCUGUAUGCAGGCCAGCAUCAGUUUAGACGGUUGGAUAAAGACCUCAGGAACGUGGCUCUCUUCGGGGAGUGUUAUAGCCUGGGGUGUAAUACAGCCUGCCUGGACUGAGGACCGCGCUUUUGCUAGGAUGCUGGCGUAAUGGUUGCCAGCGACCCGUCUUGAAACACGGACCAAGGAGUCAACCAAUUGUGCGAGUGUUUGGGUGUUAAAACCCAUACGCGUAAUGAAAGUGAACGGAGGUAGGAGCCCUUACGGGUGCACUAUCGACCGAUCCUGAUGUUUUCGGAUGGAUUUGAGUAUGAGCAUCAUUGGCUGGACCCGAAAGAUGGUGAACUAUGCAUGAAUAGGGUGAAGCCAGAGGAAACUCUGGUGGAGGCUCGCAGCGGUUCUGACGUGCAAAUCGAUCGUCAAAUUUGUGCAUAGGGGCGAAAGACUAAUCGAACCAUCUAGUAGCUGGUUCCUGCCGA